AUUGAACGCUGGCGGCAUGCUUUACACAUGCAAGUCGAACGGCAGCGGGGAGGAUGUUGCUUGUCUGCGGGCGAGAGGCGAACGGGUGAGCAAUGCAUCGGAACGUGUGGAGGAGAGGGGGAUAACCACCCGGAAGUGUUACUAAUACCGCAUAGAGGCAGAGGGAGGAGGCUGGUGGGCUAUGAAGAGGCCUGGCGCUUCUUGGGCGGCCGAGGUCGGAUUAGCUAGUUGGUGAGGUAAAGGCGCACCAAGGCGAAGAUCUGUAGCGGGUCUGAGAGGAUGAUCAGCCACACUGGGACUGAGACACGGCCCAGACUCCUACGGGAGGCAGCAGUGGGGAAUAUUGGACAAUGGGCGCAAGCCUGAUCCAGCCAUGCCGCGUGUAUGAAGAAGGCCUUAGGAUUGUAAAGUACUUUUGUUAGGGAAGAAGAGUCAGCUGUGAAUAAUGUGUUAUACUGACGGUACCUAAAGAAUAAGCACCGGCUAACUACGUG
rnacentral:rRNA from 1 species